GCGCUGGUGGUGUAGGGGUUAAGCGCGCGGCCAUAUGCAGAGGUUGCGGUCCUCGAGGCGGCUGUCCCGGGUUCGGGUCCCGGACCCGGCGACA